GUGCUCGCUUCAGCAGCACAUAUACUAAAAUUGGAACGAUACAGAGAAGAUUAGCUUGGCCCCU
rnacentral:snRNA from 1 species